rnacentral:rRNA from 1 species
AACGAACGCUGGCGGCAUGCCUAAUACAUGCAAGUCGAACGAGAUCUUCGGAUCUAGUGGCGCACGGGUGCGUAACGCGUGGGAAUCUGCCCUUGGGUUCGGAAUAACUUCUGGAAACGGAAGCUAAUACCGGAUGAUGACGUAAGUCCAAAGAUUUAUCGCACAAGGAUGAGCCCGCGUAGGAUUAGCUAGUUGGUGGGGUAAAGGCCCACCAAGGCGACGAUCCUUAGCUGGUCUGAGAGGAUGAUCAGCCACACUGGGACUGAGACACGGCCCAGACUCCUACGGGAGGCAGCAGUAGGGAAUAUUGGACCAUGGGCGAAAGCCUGAUCCAGCAAUGCCGCGUGAGUGAUGAAGGCCUUAGGGUUGUAAAGCUCUUUUACCCGGGAUGAUAAUGACAGUACCGGGAGAAUAAGCUCCGGCUAACUCCGU